UACGGGGGGAGCAAGCGUUGUUCGGAUUUACUGGGCGUAAAGGGCGCGUAGGCGGCCGCUUGCGUCGGAUGUGAAAGCCCGGGGCUCAACCCCGGAACGGCAUCCGAUACGGGGCGGCUCGAGACCGAGAGAGGUGAGUGGAAUACCCAGUGUAGAGGUGAAAUGCGUAGAUAUCGAGAGGAACACCUGCGGCGAAGGCGGGUUGCUGGGCUGACACUGACGCUGAUGCGCGAAAGCUAGGGGAGCGAACGGG
rnacentral:rRNA from 1 species